UUUGUUUGAGUUUUGGUAGGGUUGGUGUUGGUUUUUUUGAGUGAUUUGGUUAGGUUUCGGUAGGGUUGGUGUUGGUUUUGAGUGGUUCUUGAGUGAUUUGGUUAGGUUUCGGUAGGGUUGGUGUUGGUUUUGAGUGGUUCUUGAGUGAUUUGGUUAGGUUUCGGUAGGGUUGGUGUUGGUUUUGAGUGGUUUUUGAGUGAUUUGGUUAGGUUUCGGUAGGGUUGGUGUUGGUUUUGAGUGGUUCUUGAGUGAUUUGGUUAGGUUUCGGUAGGGAUGGUGUUGGUUUUGAGUGGUUUUUGAGUGAUUUGGUUAGGUUUCGGUAGGGUUGGUGUUGGUUUUGAGUGGUUCUUGAGUGAUUUGGUUAGGUUUCGGUAGGGUUGGUGUUGGUUUUGAGUGGUUUUUGAGUGAUUUGGUUAGGUUUCGGUAGGGUUGGUGUUGGUUUUGAGUGGUUUUUGAGUGAUUUGGUUAGGUUUCGGUAGGGUUGGUGUUGGUUUUGAGUGGUUUUUGAGUGAUUUGGUUAGGUUUCGGUAGGGUUGGUGUUGGUUUUGAGUGGUUUUUGAGUGAUUUGGUUAGGUUUCGGUAGGGUUCGUGUUG